rnacentral:lncRNA from 1 species
GCUUCCUUUUGCCAUCUGGUCUCAUAUAGCAGAGUUGCCCUGUAUUUGGCAGUAGGAUCCAUCAUCCCUCUCCAUGUCCACAGUCACUUGUGGGUCGUCUCCUUUAAUAUCUGUAUCAGGAACUUGGUGUUGGAUGGGGGUGCUUAAGAGUAACCUAAACAGUUCCCAUAUUAUUCUUCCAGAGGUCUGGGGACAGGGCAGGGAAUGUUUGUCUUAAAUUUGUAAAAUGGCCUCAUUAACACAGGGUGGAGGCAGUCACUCUGAGGGUUGUCAAGAUGGAUUCAGGCCAGGAAUCUGUCUGGGCUGAACUGGCCAGGGCACCGGUGGGUGGACUUCCAUUGCUCAGCUGAGAACCCUUGUAAGGCUGCUCUCCUGGACACCUGGGCUCGAUCGACCACCUAAGCCCAAAGAACCUAGGUAAUGGUGUCCAGGGCCAAGGUGCUCCUAGGGAUGGUGAUGAAGACUGUGAUGAUGCCUUCUCUCCUUUUUCCUGGAGCUUAACAGUUUACAUUUAAUAUGAAUUGAGCC